CCUACGGGUGGCACCAGUGGGGAAUAUUGCACAAUGGGCGCAAGCCUGAUGCAGCCAUGCCGCGUGUAUGAAGAAGGCCUUCGGGUUGUAAAGUACUUUCAGCGGGGAGGAAGGCGAUAAGGUUAAUAACCUUGUCGAUUGACGUUACCCGCAGAAGAAGCACCGGCUGACUCCGUGCCAGUAGCCGCGGUAAUACGGCGGGUGCGAGCGUUAAUCGGAAUUACUGGGCGUAAAGCGCACGCAGGCGGUCUGUCAAGUCGGAUGUGAAAUCCCCGGGCUCAACCUGGGAACUCCAUUCGAAACUGGCAGGCUGGAGUCUUGUAGAGGGGGGUAGAAUUCCAGGUGUAGCGGUGAAAUGCGUAGACAUCUGGAGGAAUACCGGUGGCGAAGGCGGCCCCCUGGACAAAGACUGACGCUCAGGUGCGAAAGCGUGGGGAGCAAACAGGAUUAGAUACCCGUGUAGUC
rnacentral:rRNA from 1 species